rnacentral:lncRNA from 1 species
AAGGGCUCCUUACCGAGCCUCAGCUAUCAUCUGUCUCUGAUGAUGGUUCACAUUGAAUGCACAGACCAGGAAUUCAGUGAAUGUCAUUUUUUAAAACUAAUUUGUAUCGUCUGCUCUACUGAUCCAGGUCUUACUAGUGUUAAACUAUUUUGAUCAGCCACACUAUUCUUAUGGAAAAAAAUCUAUUUUGGCAGGUUCCUGUGCCUUUAUUGCCCUCUUCUGAAAAAAAAAAAAAAAAAAGUGUCUCUGUAGUUUGGUUUGCGUUGUACAUCAGUAAUUAAUCAGGAAUGGGCUUUGGUGCCUGAGAAGCUGGCCAAGGAGGCACACCAAAGCUUCAAGCACAAGUCUUGUACAUACGCCAUCACCGAGGGGUUUCACCUUGUAUGUUUCCUAAACCUGUCUAGCUUUUUUGACAAAUGCUGCAAUCCCAUACUUCCGAGUCCCUUGUGGUGGCAGCAAUACAGGCAUCUUCUAAGGGACCCGUGACAACCAGCCAUGAGCAGGUGGAUAACGACCGUCUGCUCCCUCUCUAAGAACUCGGCCACACCGUGCCAAAAGAAGCUGAGUUUUCUUCAUGCUUCCACGUCUCCCUUCCCUUUCAAAUCCCAAAAUAGGAAUUUACAUAGGAAUGUGAGAUGUGGUACCUGCCUUUUAGGGAGAGAUCAAAACUAAACUAGUAUCACAAAUAUCCGUUCAGAUGUUGGGUCAAGAAAUCUGUGUACUUAAUGGGCUGUCGUUGUCCACCUUGCCUUGGGGUUGGAAGUCACAUCCCUUGCUGAGUACAUUGCAAGCCAAACUCUGACAGGGUUCUGCAACUAGAAGGGAGUCUAACAUCUACUUCAGCACUGAUUCAAUAAAUGUUAAGUCAACAGAAAAUUUUGAAUAGUUGGAAUUCAUUGUUAUGAGACUUAACUUGUAAAUCAACGAUCUCUCUCUCUCUCUCUCUCUCUCUCUCUCUCUCUCUGUAAUGGUAGCUAAAUAUAUUCCAUGUUAUCACUGUGGAAAUAAAUAUGAAGAUGUGGACGUUGCUGCAGGGCUCUUUUCUGUGGAAUGAAGGUCAUGGAUGUGAGGUGUAGGGCUACAGUGUCCAAGCAAGUGGUGAGGUGCAGCCUGGCAUUGGGACACCUCUGGACGUGGGGUAGAUGCCAGCACUGUCCAGGAGCAAACUCCAGCAUCCACCAUUGCUUUGCAUUUAGGCAUUCUUUUCCCCCAUAUUUAUUUUAUUUUAUUUUAAUUUAUUUUUUGUGUAUUGGUAUUUUGCCUAUAUACCUGUCUGUGCAGCUAUCUAUGCAGUGGCCAUGGAGUCCAGAAGAGGGCAUUAGAUCCCCUGGAACUGGAAAACAGAAGGCUGCAAACUGUCAUGUGGUUACCAGGACUCCAAUCUGGGUCCCCUGGAAUAGCCAGAGUUCUGAACCGACGUGCUGAACUGUCACUCCAGCCCCACAAUGGAAUUCUUGUGGGGUUGAUGUCUCAGCUUAUCAAGUAUCUACUUCCUGGCAGUGGCAGCAUGCAAUGGGGAGUGACUUGACUUGUUUGUUUUUCUGGAAAGGUCUUCAGAUGUUUCCCACUGUCCUACAUGAAGGUACUGCUGUGUGCAAGUCACCUGGGGAAAUGUUCAGACACCUAAAAUUAUAUAGAAUUUACAAAAUUAAUGAAUAUUAAAUGGGGAGGCAGUGGCUCAGCUCAUGAAAGUUCUAUAGAAUUAAAGAAAAGAAAAAGCCAUAUGUUUUUUCAGUUAAUGUCCUGUUUCUGGAUGUAAUAGGUUGUAGACCAUGUUUCCAUGUAUACUUUUUUUAAAAAAUUAAUUUUAUUUUCUCAGUGCAUUGGUGUUUUGCCUGCCUAUAUGUCUGUGUGAGGGCGUCAGAUCCUAGGGCUGGAGUUACAGACAGGUGUGGGCUGCCAUGUGGGUGCUGGGAAUUGAACCCAGGCCCUUUGGAAGGACAGCUAGUGCUCUUAACUGCUGAGCCAUCAUUACAGCCCCUAAACUUUCUUAAACUAGGGAACGUUUUUUAUUUGUCUGUUUUUCCUCCUCCUCACCUUAGGUCACCAUAAUUAAUCACCUCUUCUGUUUGCUCCCUUGUGAAAAUAUGCCUCUCAGAGCUCUCUGGAAUAGAAGGAUUGCUGUUGAAAGGGCCUUGGGCUUUCAGAGCACUGAAAGCAGCCAGGAUAAAUGGCUCCUCUUCCUGUGUGUCUUGAACGUAGUUAUUGGAACUGGAUUUUAUAGAUGCACGUUCCUGAAGUGUGUGAGCAAAGUCCCAGAUCCCGAGGCAACAGCAGGGCUGUGGCCUGAGCCAGGUGCCAUGUCUCACUGCUGACAGUGGGGGCUUGUCUGCAGUAAGUAAGCUUCAUAUUCAUGGCCUUCCUCUUGGUGACUGGGUAUGGAGAGAGAAGGGAGGCACAGGCCAGGUGGAGGUGAUGAAAACAGAAGUCCCAGCAGUGUGGUAUCAGUGGGAUAGCCUCUUCCCUCUGCUGCUCCUGCGGUUUCCUUAAGAAAAGUCUGCAGUUGCCAGGCAGUGGUGGCGCAUGCCUUUAAUCCCAGCUCGGGAGGCAGAGGCAGGUGGAUUUCUGAGUUUGAGGGCAGCCUGGUCUACAGAAACCCUGUCUCGAAAA